UCUAGCUUGUGGAUAUCGACGUCUAACCCCAACUUCAUUUUAUCUUCUUCUAGCUGCUCUAUCUUCUUCCCCAACUCCGAGUUUCUUUUCUCAAAAUCUUGCUUAAUGAUCUCUAACUCGGAUGGGAUGACCCGUAAAUGCUCCUCUAUCGGUUGUGUGUUCCCUUGAUUCUGCCUAGGGAUGUUGUCGUUGACUCUCCUACCCCACCACCAUUCAUACUCGGGGGUCGUCAUCGGACCUGCAGUGAAUCCUUUUAUUCUUCGAGUUUGGUUCCAUGCAUCUGAUAUCUCGCGAACCCUCUUUUUAUAAUUGUUGUCUUUAUAGGGGAACUCACAUUGUGCCAACCCUUGUGUCACCGGUAUAAACUGCCUUGAUCGAUACUACC
rnacentral:lncRNA from 1 species